rnacentral:lncRNA from 1 species
UGUAAACUUCAGAAGACGAUAAGAUGUCUAGUAAGAUUUGCUUGCUCCAUAUAUAUAUCGAGGGUGAAACAACAACUCCAUGCCAACUACUCAAUCACCACCAGCCAUCGAUCAAUGAUUCCAUUAUGAAGUUUUAGAGUCUGUUCGCCUUAUCCUCUCCUUCUGUAAGUCCAACUCAACUAACAACUAAUUAUGAAUUCACUUUUUUCCCCACAUAUUCUUAAUACUACUAGCUAGAUAUGCCACCAGAUCCACACCAACUCAGCUACCAACUUAAAAAACAUGAUCCGUCAACAAGGGAAGAAAAAAAAAUAGAAUGUGGGAAAUGUUCUUUUUGAUCAACUGAAUGUGUGAUAUGUGGUGAUAAUAGCUAAUAAAUAGAAACCAAUAGCAUUAUAGCAAGACAUAGUUCUUGUUUGAUUAAAAGGGUUGAUAUCAUUUUUAUCUGACAUAUAUAGAGGUGGAAGUGCUAGUUAAGAUCAUCACGUCGGGAGGAAGAGAUUUGUGGAUCUCUACGGAAGUCAAACUAUAACAUGGUCGUGGCACAACUCAGAUCGAUUUCAGGUCUACUUAGAACACUGCGCUGGUCGGCCAGCCAUGAUAUUAUUCUAAGAAGCAAGUUCGAUCGAGAGCCGGUUGGAAUCCGACCCUCUGGUGAUGAUCAAUAGGAGAAAUUUAGGGUCUUGAAUCUUGAGUCUCGAGUGCUAACGUAAUAUUGUACGUACAAGGUUUGAGUUCCUAGUAGAUGGCCGGCCUAUUAUACUCUAGGAUAUGAUUUUCACAUUGGUUUCCGGAUACUAAAGAUUUCUAUAUAGAGUUAUUUUUUUUUUUUGAGAGAAAAUAUAGAGUAGUUUUGAUUUUGUACAAUAAUGAAAUUGCACAACCAAAUAGAAAACUGUAGGAUAUGAUUUUCACAUUGGUUUCCGGAUACUAAAGAUUUCUAUAUAGAGUUAGUUUUUUUUUUUGAGAGAAAAUAUAGAGUAGUUUUGAUUUUGUACAAUAAUGAAAUUGCAUAACAAAAUAAGAAAACUG